rnacentral:rRNA from 1 species
UGACGCUGGCGGAUGUUUACCCUGCAGUCGAACGGCAGCACGGACUUCGGUCUGGUGGCGAGUGGCGAACGGGUGAGUAUACAUCGGAACGUGCCCAGUCGUGGGGGAUAACGUAGCGAAAGCUACGCUAAUACCGCAUACGAUCUAAGGAUGAAAGCGGGGAAUCGCAAGACCUCGCGCGAUUGGAGCGGCCGAUGGCAGAUUAGGUAGUUGGUAGGGUAAAGGCCUACCAAGCCGACGAUCUGUAGCUGGUCUGAGAGGACGACCAGCCACACUGGGACUGAGACACGGCCCAGACUCCUACGGGAGGCAGCAGUGGGGAAUUUUGGACAAUGGGCGAAAGCCUGAUCCAGCCAUUCCGCGUGCAGGAUGAAGGCCCUCGGGUUGUAAACUGCUUUUGUACGGAACGAAAAGGUCCUGGUUAAUACCUGGGGCUCAUGACGGUACCGUAAGAAUAAGCACCGGCUAACUACGUGCCAGCAGCCGCGGUAAUACGUAGGGUGCAAGCGUUAAUCGGAAUUACUGGGCGUAAAGCGUGCGCAGGCGGUGAUGUAAGACAGAGGUGAAAUCCCCGGGCUCAACCUGGGAACUGCCUUUGUGACUGCAUCGCUGGAGUACGGCAGAGGGGGAUGGAAUUCCGCGUGUAGCAGUGAAAUGCGUAGAUAUGCGGAGGAACACCGAUGGCGAAGGCAAUCCCCUGGGCCUGUACUGACGCUCAUGC